rnacentral:rRNA from 1 species
GACGAACGCUGGCGGCGUGCUUAACACAUGCAAGUCGAACGGAAAGGCCCUGCUUUUGUGGGGUGCUCGAGUGGCGAACGGGUGAGUAACACGUGAGUAACCUGCCCUUGACUCUGGGAUAACUUCAGGAAACUGGGGCUAAUACCGGAUAGGAGCUCCUGCUGCAUGGUGGGGGUUGGAAAGUUUCGGCGGUUGGGGAUGGACUCGCGGCUUAUCAGCUUGUUGGUGGGGUAGUGGCUUACCAAGGCUUUGACGGGUAGCCGGCCUGAGAGGGUGACCGUCCACAUUGGGACUGAGAUACGGCCCAGACUCCUACGGGAGGCAGCAGUGGGGAAUAUUGCACAAUGGGCGGAAGCCUGAUGCAGCAACGCCGCGUGCGGGAUGACGGCCUUCGGGUUGUAAACCGCUUUCGCCUGUGACGAAGCGUGAGUGACGGUAAUGGGUAAAGAAGCACCGGCUAACUACGUG